UGGGCUGUAGGUGGCUUUCUUUGCCGAAGGCCCCUUAUUUGGCUUACCCAAAAGCUUUGCCAAAGGCUAGAGAAAAGACACUCAGCAAAGACAGCAUUGCUCCAUAUGGUCUUUUUUUGUUUUGUUUUUUCAAAAAGGGGAGCCCUGGCUCUGCAUCAAUUGAUGCUUUUAUUGCAGCAUUAUCGGUCCAAAAGGCUUUAUUUGUUGUUGUGCAGUUUUUGUAUUCAUAUUUGGUCUUCAUAUUAAUUUGAUCUAAAUAUUGAACUGCAUACUGCUAUGUUUUCGUCUAUAGAAAUGCUUUCACUUUCCGUGAUGAUUUACAAUGUUGAUACAAACUAUGAGAUGAUGAAUGGUCGAACAACAAUGGAUAUACCGAGAAUACGACAUCUAUGUGUCCAUCUCCCAGUACGACGUACGGGUUCAAUCAAUAGAUCAUAGACCGACACGUGGCGGGUGCCGCCACACAGAUUGGAGGAAGUGGUAAUGAAGCAUUAAUGUUUGAAGCUUAUCCUAUCACCAAUAGUUAGUUAAUCCAUACUAGCAAGAUAAUCCAGAAAUUAACUCACCACCAUUAACGUAUCAUAAGCAUUAAUUUUGAUGCUCCAAAAUAACCUUAC
rnacentral:lncRNA from 1 species